rnacentral:rRNA from 1 species
CGUAGGAGGCAAGCGUUAUCCGGAUUCACUGGGCGUAAAGCGCGUGCAGGUGGCGCGGUAAGUUGGGCGUGAAAUCUCCCGGCUCAACUGGGAGGGGUCGUUCAAUACUACCGUGCUUGAGAGCAGAAGAGGAAGAUGGAAUUCCCGGUGUAGUGGUGAAAUGCGUAGAUAUCGGGAGGAACACCAGUGGCGAAGGCGAUCUUCUGGUCUGUUUCUGACACUCAGACGCGACAGCUAGGGUAGUAAACGGGAUUAGAGACCCCGGUAAUCCUAGCCGUAAACGAUGUGAACUUGGCGUUGGUGGGUUAAACUCCAUCAGUGCCGAAGCAAACGCGAUAAGUUCACCGCCUGGGGACUACGGCCGCAAGGUUA